rnacentral:rRNA from 1 species
UACGUAGGGUCCGAGCGUUGUCCGGAGUUACUGGGCGUAAAGCGCGCGCAGGCGGCGGUGCUGGCCCGGCGUGAAAGCCCCCGGCUCAACCGGGGGAGGGUCGUCGGGGACCGCACCGCUUGAGGGCGGUAGGGGCUGGUGGAAUGCCUGGUGUAGUGGUGAAAUGCGUAGAGAUCAGGCGGAACACCCGUGGCGAAAGGCGGCCAGCUGGGCCGUCCCUGACGCUGAGGCGCGAAGGCGUGGGGAGCGAACGGGG